ensembl:snoRNA
UCUGGCGAUGAUGACACUCUUGCCCUCACUGAGAACGCUGUUCCGUAUUGAUGAUCCUCUUAUGUGCUGAGCUAGA